AAACGUGCAUUGUCCAUUGAGACUCCAAUAGGGGUCCCUUGGAAAUUUCCACCGUGUAAGGCCUUGUUCCUCGAAACAUCGAUCAAUGGGUUAUCAUUCACUGAAUUAAUCUCUCUUUCAAUUGAUUUGGUUGAGAAUCUGAUAACUUCAAUCUGAGGACCUAACCAUUGUGGUGAAGUCCUCAGGGCAUAUCGAUCUGGCUUUGGUUUCUGUAAGGGA
rnacentral:misc_RNA from 1 species